rnacentral:rRNA from 1 species
GAACCUGCGGAAGGAUCAUUACCGAGUGUAGGGUUCCUAGCGAGCCCAACCUCCCACCCGUGUUUACUGUACCUUAGUUGCUUCGGCGGGCCCGCCAUUCAUGGCCGCCGGGGGCUCUCAGCCCCGGGCCCGCGCCCGCCGGAGACACCACGAACUCUGUCUGAUCUAGUGAAGUCUGAGUUGAUUGUAUCGCAAUCAGUUAAAACUUUCAACAAUGGAUCUCUUGGUUCCGGCAUCGAUGAAGAACGCAGCGAAAUGCGAAAACUAGUGUGAAUUGCAGAAUUCCGUGAAUCAUCGAGUCUUUGAACGCACAUUGCGCCCCCUGGUAUUCCGGGGGGCAUGCCUGUCCGAGCGUCAUUGCUGCCCAUCAAGCACGGCUUGUGUGUUGGGUCGUCGUCCCCUCUCCGGGGGGGACGGGCCCCAAAGGCAGCGGCGGCACCGCGUCCGAUCCUCGAGCGUAUGGGGCUUUGUCACCCGCUCUGUAGGCCCGGCCGGCGCUUGCCGAACGCAAAUCAAUCCC